AGGAGUUCAAAACUACCAGUCACUCCAAGGGAGAGAGAUGCAGUUCCCUACUCCCUUGAACAAGCGCUGCCCUUGUCAAAUGGAGCCACCGAGCGGAUGACUACAAGGUGGGCUGUUUGAAACCCCCCAUUUGCUCCUCAGGAAAAGAAGAGUCAGUCUGCAUUGGAAUGGACUUGACAGCUGGCCCGGGCCUUGUUCAUAUUCCCCAGGACUGGGACGAAGCUCACAAUCUGAUGGAUAUGGUAUAAUGGGGAUAUGAUAACCUAAUGGAAAUAGCAUAAUAGGAAUAUGACAAUUUGAUGGAUAUAUCAUCAUGGGAAUAUCACAAUCUGAUGGAUAAGACAACUUGAGUGCUGGGAAAUCAUGGUCCAAAGCACUGUGAAUUGCUCAUUGCUAAUCACCCACUUAUUGGUCACUAGCCGUAUGUGCAAUUACUUUUAGUCUGGAACAUUUCUGCUGUAUCUCUUGCCUUUUCUCAAGCAUGAAACACCCCCUCCUGUGCCAGCUAAUGCUGGUUCCCACUGCAGGGUGCUCAGCGGUCUCUUCGUCAUGAAACCACAGAUGCGGCGCCAUUCCAAAUUGAGAACAGAAGAUGACACUGUAAAUUAAUAACAAUUCCUAAAUUGCGACCUUCAGUUAAAAAGGAAAAAUGUAUGGAGCAAGAGCCUGAGAAAUACAGAGCACUGUGGUGGAGCCUAAAGACUGGAAGCAAUCUGUGGAGUGGUGCUCCUAGCUCAACAGAGAGACAGGAGGGAAAGAGGGACCAGACUUCAACCCAGUGCUCCAACACGUGAAUGCAACAUCUGUAUGAAGCAGGGAACUAAUAAAUAUAUCUACAUCCAAGUAUGUGAACAGCACCCCUCCCUGCAGAAGAAU